UGUUUAUUUUUUACUAUCUCUGUUAAUUUGAUUUAAUAUAAAAUAUGACAUUUUGUCAUUAAACUUUAUGCCCUGGUUUAUGCAUAUUAGUUAAAAGUUGUUAAUUUUGUUUUGUAGUGGUUUAAUUAAAAGUACUUGUGAAAAUAGUGCUAAAAGUUUGUUUUUAAAGUAAGUUUAUAGAUAGUGGGUAGUUUACUGCUUAGUUUUAUUUUUAUUCAAAGUUAUUGGUUAUUAAACAGAAAUAAAGAAGUUUUUAAACUAUUUUCAAUUCUGAGUCAAAAUUUUCAAUAAUUUUACUUAAUUUUAUAUUAGAUUUGAAAAUAAGAAAGUUUGUCCUUUUUGUCAUGAGUCAAAAGUAAAAUUAACAGAUCACGUAAACCGAGUACAUAAACGUCCAAUUGAAAUUAGCAAAAGUGUUGUUGGUUUAUAUAACUUGAGUCAGGUGUGUGAAAAAAAAAGGGAACUAAAUUAAAAUGUAAAAAUUACCAUACAAAAAAAAUGUGCCCUAUACCAAAUUGUUUCAAAAUGACAAAAAAUGUUGGAGAACACUUAAAAGGUAAAAUGCAUAAUUUAAAACCUGGCCCUGAAUAUUAUAUGCUUCUAAAAAGUGCUAAGAGUUACAAAUUACAAGAUCCUUCUGAGUCGCCAAGUAAAAUUAAAGAAAAAUACAAAUCAUUUUCUUCUGCAACUAUAUCAACUGUUACAAAAGAUCAGCUACAAUUGGACUUUAAUAUUCAAACUCAAAUAGCUACUGAUCCAUUUGAAAAAGAAGAAUUAAUAAAGUCUGACUCAAAAGAAGAAGAAUUAAGAAAGUCUGAUCAAGUUUUAAGCAGCCAUUUAUCUACUGAAUCUACUGAACCAUCAGUUGUUGGUUUUGUUACUUUUAAUAAUAAAAAUGAAAUUGGUGAUAUUCAAAGUGAUGCUUUUGAUGAAGAUGAUAAUAAUGAUGAUGAUGAUGAUUAUAUACCCCCUGAGCAAGAAAGUGAUGAAGAAACAUUCAAAAAACUUUCUCCAUCUAUUAAAGAUAUGUUAAACGAUUUUUAUCAUUAACUUACAGAACCUGAUAGAGCUAGAAAAAGUAAAUCUAUUGAAAGGGUUAAAAAUGGCGUUAAAAGGAUUUUUUUGGCUGUUGGUUUAACAAAUUCAAUAAAAUUAUUGUUUGAAAAUGACACAGAUGUGAUAAGAAAAAACUAUCUUCAAGUAUAUUGUGUAAACAGAAAGUUAGAAGCUGGUUCAAUUUAAACAUACUUAAACUCUUUAAAAGAUUUUUGCUCAUAUCUUAUAAAAUCAAAGUAUCGUGAAUUUGACCUAUCUUUUGAAACUGUAUUUCAAACUAUUUUAAAUAUUGAAAAUUGGAGAAAAAAUUACCAUGCUAAAGACAGUAUAAGAAAACAUAAAAGAGCUGAAGAUGACCUUUUAAUGCUUGUUACCCCUGAACAGGAAAAGAAAUAUGAGCAGAGCAAAAAUGCAUCAACUGCAAAAAAAUUACUUGAGGAUUUGAAAAAAAAUCCAAAUAAAGAAUUAACUAUGUUUGAUUAUUGUUGUUAUAGGGACCAUGUCUUUUUUAUUAUACACUUUGCCAGUGCCCAUUGAUCUGGUGUAACAGCAAAUAUGACUACGGAAGAAUUUUUUAAAAUGAAAGUUUUUAAAGAUGGCAUGAAGAUGAUAAAUGUAUGAGAUCAUAAAACUGUUUCAACUUAUGGUCCAGCAAGAGUGACUUUAAAUUCUAUUGAAUUUGAAUGGAUUGAAGUUUUUGUGAAUCAUGUUAGAACAAAAUUACCUGCUAUUCAUUCAGAUAAAGUAUUUUUAUCAUUGUCUGGGAAAGAAAUGUUUUCUGGGGAUAUAAGUGGAAGAUUACAUUCGCUUUGGGUGAAAGCUGGUAAUUUUGAUGGGCACUUUGUACCCAAAAAGCUCUCUGCUAACAUUGUCAGAAAAAUAACUUCACAUUAGUUCGUAAUAGCGAGUUUUAUAAAGAUAGAGGUGUUGUGGCUGACUCAAUGAUGCACAGUGAACUAACUGCUGCCACUCAUUAUCAUACCAGAAGUCAAGAGCUUAAUGCAAUUACUGGUGGCAAUAUUGUGCGCAAAAAUUUUUGUUGUUCCCCACUAACUAAAACAGACAAGUUGAUAAAAGUAGUUUAACUGAAAAAAUAAAGGAAAAAAAUGAUCAGCUUCUUACGUCAGAGAACCUCUUAAGUAAAAAUGGUUUUAGUUUUUCUUUGAUGAAUACUCCUAAAAAAAUCUGGAGUAAGGAAGAAACAAGUUCUUUAAAUUUAUUAUUUCCUGAUAAUAAAUCUCAAAAUAUAUUGUAUAACCAAGUAAAAUCAAUGCUUGCCAAAUCUCCUUCAAUUAACUGUUCACCUAGACAAGUUCAUGACAAGCUGAAAAGAAUUAAAAGAAAAUAUCUGGAAGAUAUGCCAGAAGAAUCAAAGGUUUUUUUCUUUUAAUUUUUAUUGGUUCGAUUUUAAGUCUUUUUUUCUUUUUUUUUUCUUCUUAAUUUUGCUUCGUAACUUUUCAAAAUAAUAUAAUCUUAUAUAUUGUUUAAAUUUAAUUUUUUUUCAUACUAGGUUAAGAAAUUUGCAGUUUGAACACAAAACUUGGUCUUCUGAACAGAUAAAUGAGUUAAAAGUUAAUGGAAAAGAAUUAAUUUUGGGAGGACCUUUAUCACGAAGCCGAAUUUUAAGUGUUCUAAAAAACUCUAAAUUAUUAAAAGAUUUCACCAUCACACAGUUGAGAACACGAAUUAAUCAUAAACGAAAUUAAACUUAGCUGUUUCUUGACUAUAACUUAUAAAUAAACAGUUAUUAUUUUUUAAUUUCUAAGUAUUUAAAUAAACAUUCCAGCUUUGUUAUUUCUUAUAUUAGGUUCUUUUUUUCAAUAUUAAGCUUAACCUUUAUGAUAACUAAUGUGUGGCUUGGAAAUGUUUCCAUAAGGCCAUUUCCUUAUUUAAAUACGCCACUAUGAAGAAAUAGUUGAAUCAGUUUUUACAACCAGAUGUCUUUCAUGGCAUUAACCUGUUAUGAUGAUCAGGACUAAGUAUUUUUAAUGUGAUACACUAGGUAUAUUAUCAUACAAGGUUUGCAAGUUCCUCCAACUUUUCCCCACAAAUAAAUCAAGAGGUUUUAUAUCAUAGCUUUCUUUGUCCUAGAAAAGUUGUCUUUGCCACAGUUAAAGAGCUUUACCUGCCAUAAUCAAGUAUCAGUUUAACUUCAUUACCAGAACAAGAAUUGGUUCAUAUAUAUUAAAUAUUAUCUUGCUUUCAUUCAAUCACUAACAAUAUGAUAAAAUUUGAAAAAGUAGUUUUUACAAAAAUGGGCAGAAUUUUUAAAUCAUCAUAAAUAGAGACAAUUUAAACUUAGAUUAAGGUUUAUUACUCUGUUAAUUUGAAACUAAUGACAAAUUCUCUUAAAUUAUUUCAAUCGAAAAAGAUAAUUUUCUCAAAAAAAGGAACACAUGAUAAAAGUGAAUAAGAAUGAUUAUUAUGAAUAUGAAUAAGGACUUUUUUAUGAUGUCACUACAUAAUGUAACCAAUAUAAACCUCAUCUUUUUUCUAACAUAAAUUAAACCUAAAAUAUAAUAGCACUGUUAUUUUUACCUUUUUUAUUAUGACUGAUAAUAAUUAUUAAUUUAAUACUGAUUACGAUUUUAUAAAAACAAAUUAAAAAUCUAAGGAGAGCUCUUAAAUUCGGUGUUAUAUCUUGGACAUCUUUUUAACACACAUUUAAGAUUAAUUUUCUUUUAAAUUAAAUUUUAAAUAACUACAAGCAAUCUCUCACAGUAAAUGACAAUACAGUUACAGUUGCAGACAACGUCUUAUAGUCUUACAGUUAAUAACAACCAAUAGAGUAACGUUUUUACUGUCAAUUGAAAACAACGUUUAAAAUGCCAGCUCAAUCUAGUUAGUGUGUAAUAUAGUUGUAUUUAUUCAUAUUAUAUAAUAUAAACUAUUGGUGCCACCAGUUAGUGCUAGUGAAUAUUUUAAUAUUGUUGUAUUUCUAUUACAACAAAAUAAUAAACUUAAAUGAUGUACUCUUUUUUUUUUGCAGUUGAAACCAAUAAAUGUUUCUUUCAGAAAUUAAUGGCAGUGAAGUGGUAACCUACAGUUGCAGCUCAAAAUAAGUAGGUUUGAAACUGUCUUUGUGUUGAUUGUGUUCUUUCUUUUAAUAUUUUCUUUACUUGAUAAAAUUAGUAAACUUAUAUUAUAUUAUAAAUUAUAAAGCUAUUUACGCAGUUAUAAUAGAUCAAAGUAUCAAACUUUUUCAAAGUUAAAUUACAAGUAAUUUGCCUUUCAUUUUUGUUUUACAGUUCUACUUAUAGAGCAAUACGAGAUAUAGAUACAAAGACGUGGUAUUAAAAAAUGCUACAGUUAAAAAAAAUCGUUUUACGAUUUUUUUGAGGGUAAACUUUAAGCAAAGAGUGCGAGGAACUGUUAAACUGUUAUGAACAUAUCAUGCACUAUACCAUAUCAUGCACUACACGUGGCGCUCAGUUUACUCGACGAUCCAAUUUAACAGGAUAUUAUCCAUUUUUCUUAUUUGUUAUUUAUAUAUUUAGGACGCAUUUAAACUAAAGACUAUGAAGAGCUGUAAAACUGCUAUUGGCAACAGUUGAUAAUACUAGGCGCAUGUAUUAGUACGUAAUUUGAAUCUCUGGUUGGAAUUCUUUUAAAUGCUUUUAUGCUUUUUACCCAUAGUUGCUGUGGAAAAGCUCAAUACCAAAGAUUUAAUAAAGGCAGAGUUAGGCAGGGUCGAAGGAUAUUUUUCGAACUAAUAAUCCAUUGUAGUGAAAAACGAACUAGUUCAAUCUUUCAAAACAAAAAAGUUUUUUAGAUCAUAAUCAGCUUUGAAGUAAAAAAGUAAACAUGCCCAGUGGGCACAAUACGCGUUUUAAACGUCUAAAUCACGUAUUAAAACGUUUUAAUACAUAUUCUAGACGUUUAAAACACGUCUUGUGCCCAUUGGGUGAUUUGAAGUAAAUUUCCAUUUGUUUUAUUUUUUUCAAGAAAAAAAAUUUGAAACUAAA